rnacentral:rRNA from 1 species
UACGUAGGGGGCUAGCGUUGUCCGGAUUUAUUGGGCGUAAAGAGCGUGUAGGCGGCCAUGUAGGUCCGGUGUGAAAACUCGAGGCUUAACCUCGAGAUGUCAUCGGAAACCAUUUGGCUAGAGUCCGGAAGAGGAGAGUGGAAUUCCUGGUGUAGCGGUGAAAUGCGCAGAUAUCAGGAAGAACACCCGUGGCGAAGGCGGUUCUCUGGGACGGUACUGACGCUGAGGAGCGAAAGCGUGGGGAGCGAACAGG